AGGCCUGGUAACGCCCGUACCCCUUGAAAGAACCCUCGGAGAGAACCCUCCCAAUCCAAACCAAGGGCGCCGUCACCCGUAAGGGUGGAUAUCCCCAACCAGAGGCCGGAUCGGGCGCGUUGUGUGCUUACGUUCUUCUCAACGAAAAGCAACAGACAUGAGACGACCCCCGCCGGGAUUGCAGUCCGGGCGAGGGUCUGACCACCCAGGAAGUAGGCCCUUCCCG
rnacentral:ncRNA from 1 species